rnacentral:rRNA from 2 species
UUUAUAUGAGAGUUUGAUCCUGGCUCAGGAUGAACGCUGGCGGCGUGCCUAAUACAUGCAAGUCGAACGAGUUCUCGUUGAUGAUCGGUGCUUGCACCGAGAUUCAACAUAGAACGAGUGGCGGACGGGUGAGUAACACGUGGGUAACCUGCCCUUAAGUGGGGGAUAACAUUUGGAAACAGAUGCUAAUACCGCAUAGAUCCAAGAACCGCAUGGUUCUUGGCUGAAAGAUGGCGUAAGCUAUCGCUUUUGGAUGGACCCGCGGCGUAUUAGCUAGUUGGUGAGGUAAUGGCUCACCAAGGCGAUGAUACGUAGCCGAACUGAGAGGUUGAUCGGCCACAUUGGGACUGAGACACGGCCCAAACUCCUACGGGAGGCAGCAGUAGGGAAUCUUCCACAAUGGACGCAA